rnacentral:rRNA from 1 species
UGCGUAGGCGGGUCUUUAAGUCAGGGGUGAAAUCCUGGAGCUCAACUCCAGAACUGCCUUUGAUACUGAAGAUCUUGAGUUCGGGAGAGGUGAGUGGAACUGCGAGUGUAGAGGUGAAAUUCGUAGAUAUUCGCAAGAACACCAGUGGCGAAGGCGGCUCACUGGCCCGAUACUGACGCUGAGGCAACAAAAGCGUGGGGAGCAAACA